UUGGGCCUACGGGGGGCAGCAGUGGGGGAUAUUGGACAAUGGGGGGAACCCUGAUCCAGCGACGCCGCGUGAGUGAAGAAGUAUUUCGGUAUGUAAAGCUCUGUCAGCAGGGAAGAAAGCAAUGACGGUACCUGACCAAGAAGCCCCGGCUAACUACGUGCCAGCAGCCGCGGUAAUACGUAGGGGGCAAGCGUUAUCCGGAAUUACUGGGUGUAAAGGGAGCGUAGACGGCAUAGCAAGUCUGAAGUGAAAGCCCGUGGCUCAACCGCGGA
rnacentral:rRNA from 1 species